UGAUGUGUCGAUGGAGAGCGUGAUACACCGGAUCCCAUCCCGAACUCCGAAGUUAAGCCGCUCGUCGCCGAUGGUACUGCAUGGGAAGCUAUGUGGAAGAGUAGGUAGAUGCAUCUU
rnacentral:rRNA from 1 species